rnacentral:rRNA from 1 species
CCUGUUUGAAGAAGGGGGGACCAUCCUCCAAGGCUAAAUACUCCUGAUUGACCGAUAGUGAACCAGUACUGUGAAGGAAAGGCGAAAAGAACCCCGGUGAGGGGAGUGAAAUAGAACCUGAAACCUUGUACGUACAAGCAGUGGGAGCCCCAUCACUUAAUCCGAUUGGAAGGUGAUGAAAAGCAACCGCACUUAAACAAUGGUAAGAGGAGCGAAGCGAGUCAAACCACCCAAAAGAAGCAGUGGGAUUAAGUGAUGGGGUGACUGCGUACCUUUUGUAUAAUGGGUCAGCGACUUAUAUUUUGUAGCGAGGUUAACCGAAUAGGGGAGCCGAAGGGAAACCGAGUCUUAACUGGGCGAAUAGUUGCAAGGUAUAGACCCGAAACCCGGUGAUCUAGCCAUGGGCAGGUUGAAGGUUGGGUAACACUAACUGGAGGACCGAACCGACUAAUGUUGAAAAAUUAGCGGAUGACUUGUGGCUGGGGGUGAAAGGCCAAUCAAACCGGGAG